rnacentral:piRNA from 1 species
UGACUACUCCUGACUUGUUCACACAGAAGC